rnacentral:tRNA from 1 species
CGGGGCGUAGCGCAGCCCGGUAGCGCACUCGCUUUGGGAGCGAGGGGCCGCCGGUUCAAGUCCGGCCGCCCCGA